rnacentral:lncRNA from 1 species
UUGUAGUAGAAAAAGAAUUUAAUAGACACGAGGCCGGCCACGCCACGUGGGCGAUGAAGUUCGUACUCAUCUUAUUCAAAGCUCAUAGGUUAGGGAUUUUUCAAAGGCAGUUUGGGGGAAGGGGUGGGGGUGGACAGGUAACAGGUGCUUGCUGCUGAGUGGUUGGGGCAGAGAUGAAAUCGUAAUGGGUUGAAGCUGUCCUCCUGUUGGGCUGAAUUGCUUCUGGGUGGAGCCAUAAGGUCCAGGUGGAGUCAUGGGUGUCAGACAUGCAAAAAACACCUUUGACAGCCCCAAGCUGGGUCUUCAUCCUGAGUCUCAAGAUGCAGUAGCCUCAGUGAACUCCUCAGCCUCCAAGCGUUCCUGGGGUGAUCCUCUUGGUGGGGCUUGUGAAUCUGGGAGCCCGUUAUUCUGUCCUUUUACAGAAGGGGAAGAAAGUCAGCAACCUGUAGUUCAUCACAAACAACCACAUGGAUAAAAGCAAAUUUCAAAAUGGUAGUUGAAAAGGUUACAGAAUAAAGUGGACAAUGCUUGUGGAAAAAUGUAAAUGGAAAAAAAAAUUGGAAAUCACCUUAAGAUAACAACUAUGUAAAAAAAAAAAAAAAAAGAAAAGAAAACCGCAUCACAGUCCAUAUCAGAGAAACUCUCCCACAGUCCAUAUGGGUACAGGUGUGAAGAGCUUAUCACAGAACUAGGCUGUGGUUACCUCAUGUCCACUAGCAGCAACAGGAGAAGCAAACAGGGCAGGAUCUAUGGCAUGGGCAGGGUAGAUGCAGCUCCUCAGAUGAACCAGGUGAACACAGAGCACCAAGACUGGCUCUUUCUUUUUUUCUUGAUUCUGUCUUUAUGAAACUUUGCUUUAACCCAACAUUGUUUAAAUCCCGACCUGGUUUCUCGUGAGCUUGAAGCCAGGGUGCCCACACUCUGCAAAAGAAGAAAAAUGCCAGUAUGAGUCCUUGAGGCUCAGUGUUGUUGUGCAGUCCGUGGACAGGACAAUGUCCUCAUUUCAAGGUUUCAUUUUUGGAGGAAAAAAAAUUCCUCAGGAUGCAGGAUGCCCUGCAUCCCAUAAUGGGUAUGCCCCCAUUGAAACCAGCUCUGGGAGGGUGACCAAACUAAAAAGGAAACAGUUCCAAGCAGAAGGACACAAAUUACCAGCAGAGUCAUUAUUACUCACAGCAAUUCAGGCCCAGGGUCUAUGUGGUGCAGGGUUUCUGAAAGCCGGCCUAUACCUGGGAAGGAGGGAGAGAACCAGAGGCCUGGAUGCUGGGUGGAGGUUCUGUGAUUUACUUUGUUACAAAUUUAAGAAUAAAACCUGCUGGAUCAGGAGCUUUUCCUUAAUUCUCCAAUCUCAAAAUACUCCAGCUUUAGGUCACGUAAGGACAGUUCUCAAGUCCGUCCAGAGUGCUGAAAGGAUAUGUAUUUUUUCAGAUUGAAAGUGCCUAAAUCCCAGGUGUAACAGGAUUUGUUUUUAUUUUUUAUUUUUUAUUAGCAAAGAAAGAAGGGGCCUUGAAGCUGUACGUAGCUUGGUGUCCAUCAGGUACCAUGUCUACGAACAGCGAAUCUGCACAGAGUUCAAUGGGAGUCCAGUGAUGCUUCCAUAGCAGGCUGGGACUCAGCCACAGCGUGGGGAGUUGGAUAAGGCAGGUGCUGGGAGGAAUAAACGGGGCUGAUUUCCGUUACUGCUCACCUGCGAAGUCCUUUCUUUCUUUCUUUUCUUUCUUUUCUCUUCUUUCUUCACGCAGGUACAAAGGACAGAGUAUAUUUCUUCACUCAGGUUCAGAGGACAGAAUAAUGAAUCUUCUUUCUUUCCUUCUUUCUUCCUUCCUUCCUUCUUUCCUUCCUUCCUUCCCUUUUCUUUCUUUUCUUUUCUUUCUUCACGCAGGUACAAAGGACAGAGUAUAUUUCUUCACUCAGGUUCAGAGGACAGAAUAAUGAAUCUUCUUUCUUUCCUUCUUUCUUCCUUCCUUCCUUCUUUCCUUCCUUCCUUCCCUUUUCUUUCUUUCUUUCCUUUCUUCCUUCCUUUUCUUUCUUUCUUUCUUUCCUUUCUUCCUUCCUGUCUUUCUUUUCUUUCUUUCUUUCUUUCUUUUCUUUUCUUUUCUUUUCUCUCUUCACGCAGGUACAAAGGACAGGGUAUUUUUCUUCACUCAGGUUCAGAGGACAGAAUAAUGAAUCUUUCUUUCCUUCUUUCUUCCUUCUUCCCCUCCUUCCUUCUUUCCUUCCUUCCUUUUUCUUUCUUUCUUUCCUUUCUUCCUUCCUUCUCCUCUCCCUCUCUUCUUUCUUUCUUUCCUUCCUUCUUUCUUUCCUUCUUUCUUUCCUCUUUCUUUCUUUCCUCUUUCUUUCCUUCCUUCCUUCCUUCCUUCCUUUCUUUCUCUCUUUCUCUCUUUCUUUCUUACUUUCUUUCUUCAUUUUUGGAACUGGGCCAUCUUCCAAACUUCUCACAUAGCCCCUUACUCUGCUCUUCCUAUGGACAGCUGAGAAUCAUUUUCUAACUUUAUCAAAUAUGCUCCCUCCUCUUAAGAUAGCCUGCCCUGGCUGCUUCCUAUGUCUCUUGCAGUCUGACCAGGCGCUGUAGGGAAGAGGCCCAAAUGCACCCACCUGGCCCAGAUAUCCAGAGGCCAAGGCCACGGUCCUGCACCACAGCGUGAGAGUUCUUCUUUGCAGUGCCUACAAACCUAUGCUUGCCCCCAAACUCGCUCAGGGGUAACGGGGUUCUCAAGCCCAGCUGAGCGCCGGAUGGAACGUGCAUCAGAUGCUUCACCAGGAAGAGUCGGGGUCUUACAUUCCAUAGGGAGACCCAAAGGAAGUUGGCAGAGAUCUAAGUAAACAGAGAUCUCAACCCUCUCAGCCAGCUGCAGUCCUUCGUCCCCCAUGGACAUCCAAGCUGUAAGAAUCCAUGAGGCAUUCAGCCACAGCCUCCCUUAAAACCACUUUUAGUAUCCUGAAAUGUGCCGGGCGUGUGUCAUUCCAGUGCAUGGUUCCACCAGCGUUAUUCCCCAGACCACUGAAGAUCACUGUAAAUCCAUCAUUAGCUAGUGUUUGGCUCUGUUACCCAGGCUGAAGUGCAGUGCAUGAUCUCGACUCACUGCAACCUCCACCUCCUGGGUUCAAAUGAUUUUCCAGCCUUAGCCUUCCGAGUAGCUGGGAUUAGAGGCAUGCAUCACCACACCCAGCUAAUUUUUGUAUUUUGAGUGGAGAUGCGGUUUCACCAUGUUGCCCAAGCUGGUCUCGAACUCCUGACCUCAAGUGUUCCACCCACCUCGGCCUCCCAAAGUGCUGGGAUUACAGGCAGGAGCCUUCAUGCCCGGCCACAUUAAAUAUUCUUAAUACCUAAUAGUGCAGAUAAAAUUGGGAGAAAGACAAGCUGUCAUUGCAAUAGGAUGUUACAACAUUAUAUUGCAUUAAAAAUGAUACCUAAAAGCUUGCUCUUUACAACACAUGGAAAUACUAAUACUACAUUAGGAGAAAAAUCCAAUAAACUUGUUGACAUUACAUGAUCUCAAGUUUAAAAGAAAUAUGCAAAGAAAAAAAGAAAAAUGCAGCAAUUGCGUUAACACGACUUAUUUUCUUCCUUAUACUCUUAACAUUUCCCACAUUUUCUACAAAGAAAAAUCUCAUAAAUAGAAGCAUUAUUUGAAAGAAAUGAUGACCCACGCUCCUGGAUAAAAAGGUAAAAUUUAAUAGCAACCUGGCUGGAUGGAAAUCAGCAAUGGCUUACCAGCAGAGAGGGCAAAGUCAGUGAGCUACCGGAAACCACUGUUGCUUAAUAACAGCCGACCCCAUGUUAUGAAGCCCUGUGUUAACCGGCCAGAUACAAAAGAACUGGCAAAAAACAAAAAACAAAAACAUAUGUUGAGGGGACGGAGAGAGAAAGGAAAAAGGAAAAGAACAGAAGAACAGAGUUGUCUAGAAUCUAAGGAAUGAUGACUUUUCCAGGCACAUACAGACUAUCACUAAAGUAUGUAAGGAACUGAAGCAAUUCAGAAUAGCAUUACAUACAAACAGUUCUGAGGGAAAAAUGUUAACACCCUGUGAGCAGGGAGGUGCUUGCUCAGUCUAGCAUUCAAGUCAAUAACCAAUAAUUAGGGAGCACCCACUGUGACAUGCCAGCUCCCUGCUAGGCCCAGGGGGAAUGGAAAGGAAAGACAUGAAAUGCCUGAGGGAGCUUGUGCAAUGGGUUAGAGGCACCUAUAACCAAGGAGCUGCAAACUGCUGGCCCCGGGGGCCACAUACGGCCCACAGGUAUUUGGUUUGGCCUAUGAAUGUUCCUUUAAAAACUUAACUGAAAACAUUUAAAAAUCAGGAGAGUUUAUAUUUUAAAAGGCUUCUCUU